AUUUAAAGUCAGCUACACCUGUGCCACUGUAUGCAUAUACAGUACCAACAGGUUAUCUCCAUCCUUCUGCCUCUUCAGCGUGACUGAAAACAAAUCUGUGUAUCCUCAGCAUGGCAAAGGCCAACCAAUGGAACUCUGGACUCUUUGACUGUUGGGAUAAUAAGAAAGAUUGUUGCCUCUCAUUCUGGUGCUUUCCUUUUUUCGCUUGUAAGACGUCUAAAAGGGUUGGCGAGAACUUUUUCUUGCCUGUGUUCGAUUCAUGCGGUGCCAUUCCUGCAAUGGCAUUGUCCAUGAGGGUAUCCAUGCGCCAUCGUUACAACAUACAGGGUUCAAUCUUUGAUGACUGCAUUCAUACUGCCUGCUGUUGUCCCUGCAUCUAUUGUCAGAUGUCUCGAGAAAUGGACAUUCGUGGGACUCCGUGACGAUACUCACAUUUUCCUUGUUACUUGUUGGUACAAUAUAUUCCCAUAUAUUAACACAUUUUCUAGCAUUAUAGCAUAAUAUUUUCUUGGUUUGUUUUAUUCAUUCUUAAUGACAUUAGAUAUUUUAUGUUUGAUGUAGUAAUAAAAGGCAAAUAUUUAAACAAAUGUU